rnacentral:tRNA from 1 species
GGAGAGUUGGCAGAGCGGCUUAUCGCACCCGGUUGCUAACCGGGCGAUGCGCGAGCAUCCGCAGGUUCGAAUCCUGCACUCUCCG